GCUGUUUUCAAUCCAAAUGCAUAUGUCUUGAUUAUUUCAGUGUAUGCUGUUUUUAAUAUAACUCGGAUAAGAAGUCAACGUGACAAAAGAAAUAUAAUUUUCGUCACGUGGAGUCAAAACUCUGUUCUUCUCGAUGUGCUAAUAAACAAAGAGCAGAUCCGUUUUCUUUUUAUUUUUUAAAUUGGCUUUCAAAUUUAAAGAGCAAAAGAAAUAAAAAUGUUUACAGACCCACAGACCUUAAUCAUCAACAAUACCCAUUAGUACAAAAGCUCAUAGUUGAGAAACUUCCUAUAGUAGAACCCAAUAAGAAGGCCCAAGAACCCUAAGCCCAUUUGACUGGCCAAGUUGAAGAAUCAAGCGACGGGAGAGUAUUAAGCGACGGAGAUUACGUUGAUGGAGAAGUGGAGAGAGGAGGAUCAAUCACGCAUGACGAAACCAUGAUUGUAACAUAGAGGAGGCAAGCUUUGGAUUGGAUGAUCUGAAACUCUGGAUCCUGUUUCUGAUUUGGCGAUCGAUUAUACGGAAAAGAGAAUCAAUGGACCUGAAAGAGUUAGUGUGCAGCCUAGAGUUGCGCUCAUUCCAUAACCAGUAGAGUUGGAUUGCCAAGCCAGUAGGUUGAAUUGUGUUGCCGCUUUUUUUGAGCAUAAAGGAGAGACAGUUCAUAGCAAUAACAGAUAGAUAGGGAGAGAGAGGGUCACCCUGCCUAAGCCCUCUUCUUCCUUUGAAAUAGCCAUUGACAGUACCAUUAUAUCAAACCAUAAAGCUUGUUGUACAUAUGCAGGCCUUUAGCUGAGAGAGAAAGUGGUGUGGAAUCUGCAUACUGUCCAAGCAAGAGAAAAGGAACUCCCAAGAUAGCAUAUCAAAGGCUUUGGCAAUGUCCACCUUGAUGGUGAUUCUCUUCGGCCCUUUAUUCUUGUGAUACCCAUGUACCAAUUCACUUGCUAAUACUGUAUUUUCAACCAGCAGGCGGUCCUUUACGAAGUUUGUUUGACAUGGAAGGAUGACAUCUUGUAUAAUUGGCUUUAGUCUUGCAACCAGAAGUCUGGAUAUCACCUUGUAGACCGUAUUUAGACAAGAGAUGGGGCAAAAAUCAGAGAUCUUUUUUGCUCCCGAGAAUUUAGGGACCAGCAUAAGAAUUGUUGAGUUAGUAGUGGCUGGUAGGAAAGCUGAAGAGAAGAACUGAGUAAUGCAAGAGACCACUUAUUCUCCAAGAGUUUCCCAUGCUGCUUUAAAGAAGCCAGAGAUUAGUCCAUCAGGUCCUGGGGCUUUGUUUGGAUUUAAUCUGAAGAACAUGCUUUUUAUUUCCUCUGCCUUCGGGAGUGGUAGCAUUUUUGGCAUUGUUGCAGGCUGCAGUGAAACCUAAUUAACUCAUCAAACCAGUUGAAUGAGGAGUACAGCGACGGGGGAGAGUAGUUUGGAGGUCUCAAAAUUGAUUUAAAGUGUUCCACCGCAAGCAUGCUCAUCUCUAUUGGGUCCGUGACCAUCACCCCAGCGUUUGAGAGAAAGGAUCUAAUGGCAUUGUAACUUGCUCUGACUUGACACAUCCGGUGGAAGAAGGAAGAUCCACUUCUCAUGAAGAUCUCUCUCUUCUUGGAAGGUCAAGGUUGAUGGAGUAUUUAGAGCUUGAACCUGCACAAGUUGUAACAAACGGAGUGAGACGGACCAUUGUAGCGCAAAUCAAACAUUCCACAUUGGAGCAAGCAGUCUUGGAACUAAUACAUUAUGUUAUCGGGAACAACAACUGCAGAGGAGGAGUGUUUUGUGGGGUACAUUAUCUGAUUGAAGUCACCCACAAUCAUCCAGUUUCUUGUUCUCGAGAUCCAGAGUAUCGUGAAGAUGUAACAGCUCUGCCCAUAGGUCAUUUCUUUCUGCACUGAGAUUCGAGGCAUACAGUGCAGUAUAGUAGAUAGGUUCUUUGGACGGGAUGGAUAGGAGGCAGGUUAUGGUCUGGCGGCUCUGCCGGAUUACUUGGACAGUAAGAGGGUUUCUCCAUAUCAAGAUAAUCCUACCAUCAGCAUCAGAGGCAUGAUUAGAGCUGAAGUUCCAGCCAUUGCAAAGUUUGGACAUAAGGGAGGGUAAGGAAGUUUCUUUUAUAUGAGUUUCUAAAUUGCACCAAAAAAGAGGUUUAUGGGUAAAAAGCCAAGAAAUAAAAGGCCGAUGCUUAUCCGGGUCAUUUAGGCCGCAGACGUUCCAAAAAAAGAGUUUGAUACACAUGGGAAAAGAGGGAGGGUCUCCACCAUCAGAGAUGGAUUCCCGGGUAAAAAAGAAGUAAUAUUUAGUUGCUUCGUUGGCGAGAGGACAGUUUUUGGAGGAUCGAUGGCUGGUGAAAGAGAAGAGAAUGGAUUUUUUGUGGCAUAAGGGCUUUUGUGGUGAGGGGAGGUUUAGUGUGAGGGGAGAUAUAUUAUAAAAGGAGAGCUGUGGCAGAGGAUGGAUGAAGAGGGGGAAGCAAAAAAGGAUUGGGAUUGGAAGAGAGAGGGGGGGAAAGAGUUGGGGAUGAACGAGAACGUUUAAGGGAAGGCCGGGGGAUGGGAUCAGGAGAGAGGCAAAGAUCAGCAGGUGCAUCGAGGAUUUUGUGGCCAGCGAUAUCAGACAGGGGUUUGAGAGCAGUUUUAUCAAUCAUCAUCUCAUCAGACUGAAGCGCUCCAGGUUCUGAGGUGAUGAUAAGAUCAGAGGCUUGAGAUGCCACUGUUUUUUUUAAAAAAAUUUGACGAGUAGACUUGGAGACUGGUGUGGAAGAGCUUGAGGGCUUCUUUCCUUGGGACUUAGCCGUUAUGGGAGGAUCAGUUGAAGGAGGGGGAGUGUACUGGAGAUAGUUUCGGAUUAUGUGACCCAGUUCGUGACAAUGAGUGCAAGUUGGUGGUACCCACGGAUAGUGCACCGAAACUUCCACUACUUCUCCGCUUUCUCUUUCAAAUUCAACAACGGAAGGAAGAGGCUUUGUGAGGUCAACUUCUACCUUGACAUGAGAAACAGUCAAGCUAACCAUAUUUUUCGUAAAAUCAUCUGUCUCUUUGGGUUCUCCCACGAGACCUACUACCAAGCUCAACCCCGCAUUGUAUAUGAGAUCGAGAGGAACACCAGUGAGGUGGGCCCAUAUUUUAAUAGCUUUCAAAGGGGGUGUAGCAGAGGAGUGUUCCGACGACCACUGAGCGGUGUGGAACAUAGAGUACCCAACAUACCAAAUGUUUUUUUCGAGAAUUUUCUUGCGGAGAUAUUCACUUGGGAUUCUCACAAGAGUAGUACGGUUGAGAGGUUUAUUAUUGAUUUCCAGCCUCUGUCCCUUUCCCCACAUGUGGUUAAACACACUUUGAAUUUGGUUGAAAGGAGGAGUUUUGCCGUUGAAGUAACAAAUGAUGAAAUCUUUGUGGAUUUCAGCUCCUGCUUUGAAGACUGAAUCCAGAAUCAAGAUUCUUGGUCUACCUGACGGAGAAAUGGUUACUGGAGCUAGUCUUCUCAAGGUUUUAUCUUCAGCAGCUCUGAAUCUCUCCACAAGUGAAGGUACAUGAACAGGUGCUGGAGCAUUUUUUGUAGAUGGGAGAGUGUGGUCAGUAGGGGAGAUGAGAAUAGGGUCGGCGGUGGGUGGGGCUUGAGUUGAAACAGUCGGGGGAGUGGGGGGGGGAAUAAUCGUGGUUACUGGAGGGAGCAGGGUUUGAGGAACUUUCCUGCAGGUGAACUAAUGGAGUUGAGGCUUUGUUGGUGUUUAUGGGAGAAGGGGAUUUAGGUGGGUUGAUUCUGAAAGUUUGGGGGUUGUUUUCUUGUGGGAGGGUUUGGACUGUAGCUGGAACAGUAGAUCUGAGAGUGUGGGGUUCAAAAGUGAUGGUAUUUGAAGCUUUGACAACAGUUUUUUGGUUUUCAGAUACUCCUUGAACUGAGGUACCUUCAGUAGUAACAGGUUGAAGCAGAUUUGCAACAACAAUAGAAGAAUUUUUCAGGAAUUUAAAACCAGUUUUCUUAGAAGAUAAUGGUUUUGAACCAGUUGAGAGAGGAGGGAAUUGGUGGGGUGAUAAAGGAGAGUCAGGGUCGGGAGGGUCAGGGGGAACGGGAAGCGGGGGUGAGGGCUCACUGGAGGUGAGCGGCGGAGGGUUCAGGGCGGAAGCUUUGCCGGGGACAUUCCAAACACUCUUCAUCGGGAAAAGAGCCAGAGAGAAUUUGACUUUUAAUAGCAGAUCCGUUUUCCCUAUCAAUAUUUUAUCAAUUUGAGUAGAUCUAGUUAUAUAAAAUAUAUUGACAUUAACGUGUUUUAUUGUUUUCCGCUCAAUUUUUUAAAAAAAUUGUUUGUAGUUU